rnacentral:rRNA from 1 species
ACUAGCCAUGCGAGUCGAGAGGGUUCGGCCCUCGGCGAACUGCUCAGUAACACGUGNGAUAAUCUAACCUUAGGUGGAGCAUAACCUCGGGAAACUGAGAAUAAUACUCCAUAGAUCUUUGAGGCUGGAAUGCGCUUAGAUUGAAAGCUUCGGCGCCUAAGGAUGAGUCUGCGGACUAUCAGGUAGUAGUCAGGGUAAAGACCUGACUAGCCUACGACGGAUACGGGUUGUGAGAGCAAUAACCCGGAGAUGAUAUCUGAGACACGAUAUCAGGCCCUACGGGGCGCAGCAGGCGCGAAAACUUCACAAUGCGCGAAAGCGCGAUGAGGGGAUCCCAAGUGCUUGCACGUAAGUGUAAGCUGUUUUUCUGUCUAAAAAGCAGAGAGAGUAAGGGCUGGGUAAGACGGGUGCCAGCCGCCGCGGUAAUACCUGCAGCUCAAGUGGUGGCCGCUAUUAUUGGGCCUAAAACGUCCGUAGCCGGCUGAGUAAAUGCCUGGGUAAAUCGUGUGGCUUAACCAUACGAAUUCCGGGUAGACUGCUCAGCUUGGGACCGGAAGAAGUUAGAGGUACUCCUGGGGUAGGGGUGAAAUCCUGUAAUCCUGGGGGGACCACCAGUGGCGAAGGCGUCUAACUAGGACGGGUCUGACGGUGAGGGACGAAGCCCUGGGGCGCAAACCGGAUUAGAUACCCGGGUAGUCCAGGGUGUAAACGCUGCUUGCUUGAUGUUAGCUGGGCUCCGAGCUCGGCUAGUGUCGGAGAGAAGUUGUUAAGCAAGCUGCCUGGGGAAGUACGGUCGCAAGACUGAAACUUAAAGGAAUUG